AGAGAUCUUCGGGGUAGGGUGCAAUUCCCGACCGGCGGUGAACAUUUUUUUACAAGUGAAAAAAUGGUAGCCCGCGACUCAUUUUUCGUUUUAUAGAGGAAUGACUGAUCUGGUGAGAAUCCAGAGCCGACGGUAAAGUCCGGAUGGGAGAAGAUCAAC
rnacentral:ncRNA from 2 species